GAUGAAGAACGCAGCGAAAUGCGAUAAGUAAUGUGAAUUGCAGAAUUCAGUGAAUCAUCGAAUCUUUGAACGCACAUUGCGCCCGCCAGCAUUCUGGCGGGCAUGCCUGUUCGAGCGUCAUUUCAACCCUCGAGCCCCCCCGGGGGCCUCGGUGUUGGGGGACGGCACACCAGCCGCCCCCGAAAUGCAGUGGCGACCUCGCCGCAGCCUCCCCUGCGUAGUAGCACACACCUCGCACCAGAGCGCGGAGACGGUCACGCCGUAAAACGCCCAACUUCUUAGAGUUGACCUCGGAUCAGGUAGGAAUACCCGCUGAACUUAAGCAUAUCAAUAAGCGGAGGA
rnacentral:misc_RNA from 1 species